rnacentral:misc_RNA from 1 species
GCUGCCAGCAUUAGCAUACGCUUCUGAUAGAUGAUUGAAAGCAUACACAUAACAUGACUGAAACUGGUUGGAAUGAUUUUUUUUCGCAAUAGUUUUUUUUCGCAAUAGUGCGCUAAAAAGGACACUGUUAAAUUAAAAUUAAUAAAGCACCGCUACUUCAAGUUCUUCCCCAAUAAUCCCCGCGCCUAGAGGCUGCAACUAAGGCACCAACUGUGUGUUACAUGGAUAUUUACAGAUAUGGCCAUAGUAAUUUACAUAACGUCAUGCAGAUACUAGUAAAAGCAACAGUGAAAAGGAGCGGGUUUUUUCCCAUUCACAGGAAUUUUUAAGGAAACUUGUCCAAGGGCCUA